rnacentral:tRNA from 1 species
GGUGGCUCAGAGGUAGAGUGCUUGCCUGGCAGGUGUGAGACCCUGGGUUCAAUUCUCAGCACCA